rnacentral:rRNA from 1 species
UACGAAGGGGGCUAGCGUUGCUCGGAAUUACUGGGCGUAAAGCGCACGUAGGCGGCUUUUUAAGUCAGGGGUGAAAUCCUGGAGCUCAACUCCAGAACUGCCUUUGAUACUGAGAAGCUUGAGUUCGGGAGAGGUGAGUGGAACUGCGAGUGUAGAGGUGAAAUUCGUAGAUAUUCGCAAGAACACCAGUGGCGAAGGCGGCUCACUGGCCCGAUACUGACGCUGAGGUGCGAAAGCGUGGGGAGCAAACAGG